UGCCUAGCACGCAACUGGCGAUAGGCUGCUUUUUCGCAUAAGAAAAGCGGUUGAUGUGGGAACACCACAGGGGAGCGUGCCGCAAAACCAGCGGCGGUUUUGUGAUUAGCCGUUCGCCUGGGCACCUUAA
rnacentral:ncRNA from 2 species